rnacentral:rRNA from 1 species
AACGAACGCUGGCGGCAUGCCUAACACAUGCAAGUCGAACGAGAUCUUCGGGUCUAGUGGCGCACGGGUGCGUAACGCGUGGGAAUCUGCCCUUUGGUUCGGAAUAACAGUUGGAAACGACUGCUAAUACCGGAUGAUGACGAAAGUCCAAAGAUUUAUCGCCAGAGGAUGAGCCCGCGUAGGAUUAGCUAGUUGGUGUGGUAAAGGCGCACCAAGGCGACGAUCCUUAGCUGGUCUGAGAGGAAGAUCAGCCACACUGGGACUGAGACGCGGCCCAGACUCCUACGGGAGGCAGCAGUGGGGAAUAUUGGACAAUGGGCGAAAGCCUGAUCCAGCAAUGCCGCGUGAGUGAUGAAAGCCUUAGGGUUGCAAAGCUCUUUUACCCGGGAUGAUAAUGACAGUACCGGGAGAAUAAGCUCCGGCUAACUCCGUGCCAGCCGCCGCCGUAA